rnacentral:rRNA from 1 species
AGUGAAUAGAUACCCCGGUAGUCCUAGCCGUAAACGAUGGGCACUAAGUAGAGGGGUUUUGAUUAUCUCUCUGCCGGAGCUAAACGCAUUAAGUGCCCCGCCUGGGGAGUACGGCCGCAAGGCUAAAACUCAAAAGAAUUGACGGGGGCUCGCACAAGCGGUGGAGCAUGUGGCUUAAUUCGAUGCAACGCGAAGAACCUUACCGGGGUUUGACAUGGUAGAAGUAGAAGCCUGAAAAGGUGACGAACGGUAUCCAGUCCGUAACUAUCACAGGUGUUGCAUGGCUGUCGUCAGCUCGUGUCGUGAGACGUUGGGUUAAGUCCCCUAACGAGCGAAACCCUUGUCUUUAGUUGCCAACAGAUAAUGCUGGGCACUCUAAAGAAACUGCCGUCGUCAAGACGGAGGAAGGUGGGGAUGACGUCAAGUCAUCAUGGCCCUUAUAUCCCGGGCUGCACACGUGCUACAAUGGUCGGUACAAAGGGAUGCUAAGCCGUAAGGUGGAGCGAAACCCAGAAAGCCGAUCCCAGUUCAGAUUGGAGGCUGAAACCCGCCUCC